GAUGAACGCUGGCGGCGUGCCUAAUACAUGCAAGUCGAGCGAACAGACGAGGAGCUUGCUCCUCUGACGUUAGCGGCGGACGGGUGAGUAACACGUGGAUAACCUACCUAUAAGACUGGGAUAACUUCGGGAAACCGGAGCUAAUACCGGAUAAUAUAUUGAACCGCAUGGUUCAAUAGUGAAAGACGGUUUUGCUGUCACUUAUAGAUGGAUCCGCGCCGCAUUAGCUAGUUGGUAAGGUAACGGCUUACCAAGGCGACGAUGCGUAGCCGACCUGAGAGGGGGGUCGGCCACACUGGAACUGAGACACGGUCCAGACUCCUACGGGAGGCAGCAGUAGGGAAUCUUCCGCAAUGGGCGAAAGCCUGACGGAGCAACGCCGCGUGAGUGAUGAAGGUCUUCGGAUCGUAAAACUCUGUUAUUAGGGAAGAACAAAUGUGUAAGUAACUAUGCACGUCUUGACGGUACCUAAUCAGAAAGCCACGGGUAACCACGUG
rnacentral:rRNA from 1 species